UCAAGAACAUUCGACAAUGGGCGAAAGCCUGAUCGAGCGACACUACGUGCAGGAAGAAGGGCUUCGGUCUGUAAACUGCUUUUGUAGGGGAGGAACGCAAGUGACUGUACCCUACGAAUAAGAGGCUGCAAACUUCGUGCCAGCAGCCGCGGUAAUACGAAGGCCUCAAGCGUUAUCCGGAUUUAUUGGGCGUAAAGGGUCUCCAGGCUGUUUUAUUAGUCGGGUGUUAAAUCUCUGGGCUCAACCCAGAGGCCGCAUUCGAAACGGUAAAACUAGAGGGAUGGAGAGGGAGUAGGAACUCAUGGUGUAGGGGUGAAAUCCGUUGAUAUCAUGGGGAACACCAAAGGCGAAGGCAAACUCCUGGCCAUCACCUGACGCUCAUGGGACGAAAGCGUGGGGAGCGAAUGGG
rnacentral:rRNA from 1 species